rnacentral:rRNA from 1 species
UUGUCCUACGGGGGGCAGCAGUGGGGAAUAUUGGGCAAUGGGCGCAAGCCUGACCCAGCAACGCCGCGUGAAGGAAGAAGGCCCUCGGGUUGUAAACUUCUUUUAUCAAGGACGAAACAAAUGACGGUACCUCUUGAAUAAGCCACGGCUAACUACGUGCCAGCAGCCGCGGUAAUACGUAGGUGGCAAGCGUUGUCCGGAUUUACUGGGUGUAAAGGGCGUGUAGCCGGGCCGGCAAGUCAGAUGUGAAAUCCCAAGGCUCAACCUUGGAACUGCAUUUGAAACUGUUGGUCUUGAUUAUCGGG